UGUAAGAAGGGAGAGGCAAGGAGAUAGGUGUGGGGAAAAGCGUGGGUUGAAAUAUGACAGGAACACGAAGGCAUGCAAAGGUUGGUGAGCUACAUUGGGAACGGUAAUCGUAGCAUGAGCCAGUGACUGAUGAGAGCUGAGUAAAAGCUCAGUUAUUUGGCACUCAAUGAACCAGAAGGCUGAAUUAACCAGCAUUUCUGAUAUCUCCCAAUGCAAAUCUUCAGUAUAGUAACAGAGACCAGUAUACUUCCCUGCACAUUACACAAUUACAUAACUUGCACUCUGCUUUCAUGCAAAAGAGGUAAAAAAACUAAAAUCUGGGACUUAUUCAAAAAAGCAGCUUCCAAGGUGUAUCAUAGGGUCACUACAGAUUCAGCCCAACCUGAUAAACUUUCUACAUCUACAAUGAUGACUGACAUUGCUAAUGAUGACCCUGAGUCACUGCAAGAUCCUGAAGUGCCUUCUGAAUCAUCAAAGAAAGAUUAGAUAAUGUCCAGUGUAUAGUUUUAGUGUUAAGUGUAUUUUAAGUGAUCUGUGUGUGGCCUAAAGUGAUAUGCAGUGUGAUAACCUGCUGUAUAGAAAACUUUACCUGUACACACCUAAGUGCUUCAAGACACCAGCCACUCUACAGUGCAGUACUACUGCUGGACUGAGUCUUUGGAUGAAUUAUAUUUUGUUGACAAAGUCUGAAGAGGAAGCAAAAGAAAUCAGGUCAUAAUGCCACUUUCAAGAGCUGGCAAGUUCACUGUGAAGUGAAGUAAAGUAAAAUUUACUACAGUGAUUACACAUGCAGAACAAUGACUUUUUUCUCCCCUUAGAAGGCAUUUUGUUCUAGAGUUCUUAAUUUAAAUAAAUAUUUUAAUUGGCAAAUCUUGAACAACAAGUGAAAAAUUAAUUCAACCCAUUCAAAAUUUCAGUUAAAGAACAAAUAAAAUAAUGGAAACACCUCUAGGAAUGAUACCCCAUGCCCUGAACCAGCUUUAACUGAUGCAAAACACAGCAGCCCAUCUGCUUAGAAACACAGAGCAGAGCAUGUGGAGUGGUGUUUUCGUGGUGACCUAUUCUCUACACUGGAUACCUAUCAAAUACAAAGUGGAGUUCAAGGUCUUAAGUUCAAGCUCUCAAGAACAUUCAAAGCCUUCCAUGAGAGAACUUUCACCCCUGCCACUAUGGAAAUAAAGCUGUCAGCCAAAUAAGAGGCUCUUGAGUGCAGGAGAUAGAACUUCAAAAGGAACCAAAUCUAGAUUAUGUAAGUCAUACUUGAAAGAGGUAAGAAUGGCCAUGAAACCAUCCACUGUGAGAGCUAAACACCAGGACUGCCAACAGGGGCAGGUGAAAGGAACAAUUUCCCAGUAGCCCGGGCCAUUUAAACAGGUCUUGGGUGCAGAACUGAUUCCAAUACCACCUACCUGGCUGAUUAGUAGAGCACAGACCACAGCAUGCAUUCAGGUGCCCCUAUCCUACAUAGCUCUGUAAGGCAGAAAUGCUGAAUAGAGA